CAAGAGCUGCAGGCCAUGGGGAGCUGCCACCCAGAAUCACAGAGCUGUGAGUUCACAGUGCCCCGUCCUAUGGCUGUGCUAUGCUGUGCUGUGAGCUCACAAGGCCUGGCUGCGACGCUGUCCUGUGCUGCAGGCUUCGCUCUGUGAAACACUCACUGUGGCUGCAGCGGUGGUAGUGGAAGCAUGGUGCAAGUGUGGGGGGCCAUGGCCCCUACCCGCCUUGUCCUCUUCCUCCUACUGAUGGCCAUGUGUUUCUGGGUGACCUGUGCUGCUCCAUGGCGAGCACCGGGAGCAGGUGGGUGGGCAGAGAUGGGACCCAAACUGAGCAGCACUGAGGGCAAGAAGUCAGGCUGUGUCCCCACGGCCCUGUGCCACACUUCCCUGGGGCCUGCCUUCCAUGGGGGUGGUGUUGGGCAGAGGGUGAUGGGCAGCACCACAGGAGCCGGGUAAGAGCCCAUGGCGGAACUGCUCCGCAGGGCUGGCUCCAGCCAUGCCAGGCCAUGGCUCUGCUGCUUGCUGGCUGGAGCACAGCCUUCAUCCUGGGAGAUGUCCUGGGGAGAGCUCAGAAGAUGCAUGCUGGUAAAAGAGUGAGCAUUUCUGCUCCAGGCUCAUGGUAUUCCGCAUAGAUGAAUCCCAGUUUCCAACACAGAGCCCCGGCCCACAGCCCAGAGGAAGAGACAGACAUGCUUUCCUCCAGUGCUUCAGUGUGACCUUCCUGUACAUCAGAGGCCUCCCAAUAAGAAAGCCCCGAGAGGCUGUAUCUUCUUCCAUGCGGUCUGUGAGGGAUGUGGCACAUGGCCUGGAGAGAGUAUUGUGUACGCUGCCAGGUGCCAGCCUACAGGUCAUCCUGGACACCCUGCAAUUUUCAAAAUCAUGACCUGAGUCCUUCUCCCAUCCCUGUUCCACGACCCACAUCCAGUUACUGAGAGAGAAAGAGAUCACACCAUGCAAUGGGAACUUCUCUCAUCUGUUCUUGAUUCUAGAUGAUGAGCUCAGUGCUCCCUUUCCAGGAGAUCCUUUGGAUCCAGAUUCUGUGCGUGUGCCCGUGGGACAACCCAGAGGCCCUGCUGGUGAAUCAGCAGAAUGGAAUCCUGUCUAUGAGCCUGAGGGGGAUGCUGGAGAUGUGACUGGAGGAAGUGAUCCAGGUUCCCCUCUAGGUUCUGGGACUGAAACUCCAGCAGAUCACAUGGGUCCAGAAGGAGGAAAAGAUGAAUCCAAAAGAGUAGAAUACUCCCAGGGCUCAUCCCAUCUCCUAAACGAACUGCUGAAGGAAAUGGAGAAGGCAGCGCGUGGGACUGACCAACAAACUGCACAGGACGCGCUGCAGGAAGGCAGCCAUCCCACGCUGCCAGUCUGGGACAGAGAAACACAGACAGUGCCAACAACUGGCAUGCCAGGGAUGAAUGCUGGGAAAGGCACAAAGGCUGCUGUUCACAAAUCUGUGCGAAAGUGCCACAUCGCAGCGAUGGUACUGUUCUCUGCUGUGCUGCUGUCUGCGCUGGUGCUGGCCUGUGGUGCUGCAUUAUGGACGUGCAAAAAAUACCUAGUGUGCAAGAGAGAAGAAAGAGCAGCAGAACGAGCUCUUCCUGAUACCAACUGAGAGAGUGUUCCAGCUGGAGAUGAGGGCAGAAUGGAGCUGGGAGAGGCAACAAAAGAGACUCUUGCCCAACCAAACCAGAAUCUCAACAAUAGUUCCAGUUCGUUCCAUUCUACCAUCCAAGAUGCCAAAGGUCUUCAAAGUGAUCUGGAAGACCUGGAGCGUGAACUCAAAGCCAGGAAAGAGGUCCACGGGAACAGUCCUGAGUGCUUUCUGUCAGAGGACGGCCCUGAAGGUGAGAGCGGAGAAUCAGCAGCAGAGCUUUUGUCCUUCACCCUGCAUUCUCCAGGACAAGUAUCAGCAAUAAUUCCAAGAUUCUUAGCUCACCAUAGCUACAGUCCUUUUGAGGGUCCUAAUGAGGACCCAGAAAGCGAGCUUCCUCUGACUGCUGGACAGUAUUGUUUAUUGUCUCUGGGGAUGGAGUUAUUGUUUACGUCUUUGGAGAUGUGGAUGAGAAUGGCUGGUUUCUGGGAGAGCUGACAGAUGGCACAAGAGGACUGGUCCCUUCCAGUGUGGUUGUGGAAGUUUUGGAUGAUGAACUGGAUACAAUGAUGCCUCCAGAGCUUUGUGAUCUCCUGCUGCACACUGAUGAUUAAGUGGAUGCAGAGAUUCCAUAACGCAGCAACAUCCUGUAAAAAUUCCUGCACUGAUUCAUCUACAAGACUACCCCCUGCUCCACUUGAUGUUCAAGUGGGGUGUGAGCAGGAUGUGGAGCUCUCUGAGGUGACUGACAGUGUAACUGCAUAGUCUUAUAUAUUAAAAACAAACAAACAAACAGAAAACCCAAUAAAACUAACAAACAAAAAACCCAACACUGUUCUUUUUCUUGGAUACAUUGACGAUACUUUUUGUAGCUGAGACUUUGCAAUGAGUCCUGAAGCAGAUUUGAACUGGUAGAAGUAGGCAGUGUCUGCAUUCCGUUCUCCUAAUUUCCUUGCUGGUCGGAGUUAAGGUGCCAUGCAUCCAUUCCCCAGCUCCAGCUGUCUCCUGAAUCAUGAGAACAGCCUUUCCACACUGUGAGAACAGCCUUUUCACGUAGUUGGAG